rnacentral:rRNA from 1 species
GAUGAACGCUGGCGGCAUGCCUAACACAUGCAAGUCGAUCGGUAAGGCUCUUCGGAGUACACGAGAGGCGGACGGCUGAGUAACGCGUAGGAACACACCCUGCAGUGAGGGAUAAGACACCGAAAGGUGUUCUAAUACCGCAUACGGUCUUCGGAUUAAAGCAUUUAUGCGCUGAAGGAGUGGCCUGCGUCAUAUUAGAUAGUUGGUGAGGUAAUGGCUCACCAAGUCGAUGAUGUGUAGCUGGUCUGAGAGGAUGAUCAGCCAGACUGGAACUGAGACACGGUCCAGACUCCUACGGGAGGCAGCAGUGAGGAAUAUUUCACAAUGAGCGAAAGCUUGAUGGAGCAAUGCCGCGUGCAGGAUGAAGGCCCUCGGGUUGUAAACUGCUUUUAUAAGAGAAGAUUA